rnacentral:rRNA from 1 species
CUUGUGCUGACUGAUGCAGGAUUCACAGAGACAGCUUCGGCUGAC